CCCUACGGGGCGCAGCAGGCGCGAAAACCUUACAAUGCGGGAAACCGUGAUAAGGGAACUCCGAGUGCCCGUUAAAUCGGGCUGUCCAUCUGUGUAAAUAACAGGUGAAGAAAGGGCCGGGCAAGACCGGUGCCAGCCGCCGCGGUAAUACCGGCGGCUCGAGUGGUGGCCACUAUUACUGGGCUUAAAGCGUUCGUAGCUGGUUUGUUAAGUCUCUGGGGAAAUCUUCCGGCUUAACCGGAAGGCGUCUCAGGGAUACUGGCAGACUAGGGACCGGAAGAGGUGAGGGGUACUCCAGGGGUAGGAGUGAAAUCCUGUAAUCC
rnacentral:rRNA from 1 species